ensembl:lncRNA
CUGCUCUCGACAAGAACUUCUUCAGACAUGCGGCAUUCUUCUGGGACGAUGGCCUUGGUUAAAUAUUUGGCUCUUAAUACACAGCAUUUUUUUUUCUCUCCUGCAAACACAUGCUCUCAUUUAGAAGGACUUGAAAAUGUCCAUGGUCUUGGAAUCUGGGGUUAAGUCCUGGGCACUAGGGGAAUGAGAACACAGGGCCGAAUGGGAGGGAGUACAGUAUGAGAAAAACAGAGAAGCAAUAUUCUGCCCCUGCUCGGGAAUACCUGGCCCCUAGCACUCACUCUGGAGGGCAGGUGAGUGAGGAAGGGUGCUGGGACGCUUUAUGGCGCAUAAUCACCAUUGCAGCUGUGCAAGCAGAGAUCAAAGAUCACAUCAAAUUUCAAGCUGCAGGGACCUCAAUCUGAUCACCUGCAGAGGUCAGGGAAAGGAAUUUUCUUCCCUGAAGAGCCCCAAGAUUGGCUGAAUUCCCAACAGGGGGGGUUGGCGCUGCCUUGAAGGAUCACGUUACUGGCUACUGCCCAGAAGCCAGGGGACAGGGCCUCGGGGUUGAUGGGGCUGCCUGGGCCAUUCUGUUGUUACUGGCAUAGAAAGGAGCGACUCAGAGAAGGCCUGGGGACUUGGCAUGUCCACUCAAAAACUCCCUUUGGAGUGUCCACUGUCAAGGAAUGAACUGCACACUGGGAUCACACUGGCGCCCUCAGUCACCAACAGGCAUGGCCACAAGGCCACUUCACUGUCAGCCCCAGGUAAGCAAAGCACACGCUCACACCUAAAUUUCCAGGGCAGAGCAGGCCGUACGGGCUGGAUAUCCUGCAGGAUUUACUUGAACAACUGCUCCAAUAAGGUGUUUUGGGGAAAAAACAAAACCAUAAAAAACCAAACCAAAAGCAACCAACUAGUGACUACCGUGAUUGACUUACAACCUGUGUGCACGGUCACAUGUGCCUAGCCUCCCUUUCCCAUGGCUGCCUCUGUCUCUGUUUCUGGACUUCCUCCUGUGCCCACAGCUUCCGAGACGUUCUAGUUCUGAGAGCUGAGGAAUCUUACUAAGCCUUCCUUAACAUAAAGGGGUUUGGACAUGAACUUGAAUGGCAAUUGAGCUGAUUUUCCAGCUGACGGGAGAUGGUUAAUUGCAUGCUGUCUAUAAGAGUCUUAAAAAAAUCUGUCUGGCCACAUUAAUAGAGGCUUGAAAUUUAUGGCUUCAGACCAUUGUGGGGUGAUACGGAACUCAGGGCUCUGGCAACUCAAGGUAAUAAUUUCUUAGGUAGAAGACAAAGCCCAGUGGGCAGAUCCUGGGGCCCUUGAAAGAGAGAUGAUCGAAAGUAAACAUGGCGGAAGUUCCGCCCCUCUGGGAUGGCAUCUGUCUAUUCCAAGUUUGUAGAACACACAGUUGAGAGCAGCAAGAGAAGCUGGGGGCUAUGGAAUGGUCUACUGAUCCGCUCUGCAAGGGGGAUCUGCGGCCCUCUCGGCAAUCAGCUGUUCCCUCAGGGGCCUUUUGUUUCUAAAGACUGAAAACGUAAGAGAGGCAGCUUAUUAUGAGUGGAUGGGCGGAUAGAUUUGUUUUUUUCCUCCCUUGAAUCCUUCAUCAAAAUGCAGCAUUGACAUUUGUGGGAAGAAGAACGUGGGGACCUUCUCCAGGGUCACCCUGUUGAGGGACACAUUCUAGAAUAGUCUUUGAGAGAGGACAGCAUCAGCAGUGGUAUGAGCUGCGACACCUGUGCUUGGAGUCACAGUUGAGGCUCUGAUCAGUGGUCUUCCGCUAUUGGCUUCUUUCUUUUUAUUUAAAAAUGAUUUAUUUGGGGCCAGUGCUUUGGCAUCGUAGACUAAGCCUUCACCUGCAGUGCUAGGAACUCAUGGUUGGGGGGUGGGAUUUGUGUCCCAGCAGCUCCUGUUCCAAUCCAGCUCUCUGCUUAGGGUCUGAGCAAGCAGUAGAAGAUGUCCCAAGCGCUUGAGCUCCUCACAUGGGAGACUUAGAAGAAACUCCUGGCUCUGGUUUUGUAUUGACCCAGCUCAGGCCAUUGUGGCCAUUUGGGGAGUGAACCAGCAGGUGGAAGACCUUUCACUCUGUCUCUCCCUCCCCUAUCUUUAACUCUGCCUCUCAAGUAAAUAAAGAAAAUAUUUAAAAAGUGAACCA